rnacentral:rRNA from 1 species
CCUACGGGAGGCAGCAGUGGGGAAUCUUGCGCAAUGGGCGAAAGCCUGACGCAGCAACGCCGCGUGCGGGAAGAAGGCUUUCGGGCUGUAAACCGCUUUCAGCAGGAACGAAAAUGACGGUACCUGCAGAAGAAGGAGCGGCCAACUAUGUGCCAGCAGCCGCGGUGAUACAUAGGCUUCAAGCGUUGUCCGGAUUUAUUGGGCGUAAAGAGUUCGUAGGCGGUCGAGUAAGUCGGGUGUGAAAAUUCUGGGCUCAACCCAGAGACGCCACCCGAUACUGCUUGACUUGAGUUCGAUAGGGGAGUGGGGAAUUCCUAGUGUAGCGGUGAAAUGCGCAGAUACUAGGAGGAACACCGGUGGCGAAGGCGCCACUCUGGAUCGAUACUGACGCUGAGGAACGAAAGCAUGGGUAGCAAACAGGAUUAGAUACCCUGGUAGUCCAUGCCGUAAACGGUGGGCACUAGGUGUGGGUUUCUAUUAACGAAAUCCGCGCCGUCGCUAACGCAUUAAGUGCCCCGCCUGGGGAGUACGGUCGCAAGACUAAAACUCAAAUGAAUUGACGG